UUCUUUAAAUUUAAAAGAUUUGGCGGUAUUUUAAUCUAUUUAGAGGAAUCUGUUUUUUAAUUGAUAAUCCACAAUUAAAUUUACUUUUAUUUUAAAUUUAUAUAUCGUUGUUAUUUGAAUAUUUUUUUAUUAAUAUUGUCAGAUCAAGGUGUAGUUUAUGUAAAAGUUAAAAUGGAUUACAAUAUAAAUUUAAUAUAAAUUGGAUUUAAUAGUAAGUUUUAAAAUAUGUACAUAUUGCCCGUCACUUUCAACUAAAUUGAAAUAAGUCGUAACAAAGUAGAUUUACUGGAAAGUGAAUCUAGAAUCAAAUUAUAGCUAAAUAAGUAUUUUAUUUACAUUAAAAUGAUAGUUGAAAUUCAAUUUAAUUUGAAUUUAAUUAUUUAUUUUGAGUUUAUGGAGAUUUAUUUUUAAUAAAAAAUUUUUUAUUUAGUAUUUUAAAGAAAAAAUUUUAUGAUAGUUUAUAGUAUUGUGAAAGAAUAUAUUUAAUUUUUAAAAAGAAAAUUUAAUUUAUUGUACCUUGUGUGUCAGGGUUUAUUAAUUUAAUUUUCUCGAAAUUAAAAGAGCUAAUUUUAAUGUGAAAUAAUUAUUUAUAAUAUAAUUUUAGUAAUGAAAUGUUAUUCGUUUUUAAUUAUAUCUAGUUUUUUAAUAAAUAAAUUUAAUUUAAUAAUUAAUUAAUAUUUAAAUAAGGGAUAAGCUUUAAAAUAAAAUUUAAUAAUUUAUAUAUAAAUAAUAAUUAAUAGAAUUAGAAUUUUUAAUUUUUAAAAAAAUGUUAUAAUUAUUUUUUAAUUUUUUAUUAAAAUAAUAAUUUUAAUUUUAAUAAUUAUGUAAUAAUGAUAAAAUUAGUAAAAUUAUUUUAAGGAAUUCGGCAAAUAAAUUUUCACUUGUUUAUUAAAAACAUGUCCUUUUGAUUAUAAUUUAAGGUCGGAUCUGCUCAAUGAUUAAAUAGCUGCAGUAUAUUAACUGUACGAAGGUAGCAUAAUCAUUAGUUUUUUAAUUGAAGCUGGAAUGAAUGAUUUGAUGAAAAAUUUACUGUCUCAAUAAUUUUAUUUUUAAGUUAAAAAGCUUAAAUAUUGUAAAAAGACGAGAAGACCCUAUAGAAUUUUUUUAUUGGGGUGAUAUAAAAAUUUAAAGAACUUUUUAAUUUUAUGAAUAUAUGAUCCUAGAUUAAAAGAAUAAAUUACCUUAGGGAUAACAGCGUAAUUUUUUUAAAGAGUUCAUAUCG
rnacentral:rRNA from 1 species